GGCGGUAGCUCAGUGGCAGAGCACUUGCCUCUCAUGUGUGAGGCUCUGGGUUUGAUCCUCAGCACCA
rnacentral:tRNA from 1 species